AAUUGCGAUAACAAAAUCCUAAUUCUAAUAGAAUACUAACAAUGCUCUAAUUAGACUAUAAUAAUGGUAAAUAAACAUAAUCAAAUUCAAAACAACUCAAAGAAAUUUCAAACAAACAAUAAAAUUCUUAAAGAAAUAUAAGAAUGAACACAAAUAUUACUCAAAUAUAUGUCAAUUCAACCUUAAUUUAAUUCUAGUUAAAACCCUAUUGAAUUUCACUCAAACUUUAGACCAAACCUAAUUAAAUCUUAACCCCUAAUAAAUCCUAAACACUAAGUCAAAUCCUAAACAAACCUUAAAUUAAACCCUAAAUCAAACCCUAUUUCAAACCCUAAACCCUAAACCAAACUCUAAAUCAAACCCUAAAUCAAACCCCAAAAAUCCUAAUCCAAACUCUAAUCCAACCUUAAAUCCUAAUUCAAACCCUAAACUCUAAACCAAACUCUAAUCCAACCCUAAAUCUUAAUCCAAAUCCUAAACCCUAAACCAAACCUUGAAUCAAAUCCUAAUCCAAAUCCUAAAUCAAACCCUAACCAAAUCCUAAACCCUAAUCCAAAUCCUAAAUCAAACCCUAACCAAAUCCUAAACCCUAAUCCAAAUCCUAAAUCAAACCUUAACCAAAUCCUAAACCCUAAUCCAAAUCCUAAUCCAAACCCUAAAUCAAACCCUAACCAAAUCCUAAAUCCUAACCUAAAUCCUAAUCCAAUCCUAAAUCCUAACCAAAUCCUAAAUCCUAAUCCAAACCCUAAUCCAAAUCCUAAAUCAAAUCCUAACCAAACUCUAAUCCAAAUCCUAAAUCAAACCCUAACCAAACUCUAAACCCUAAUCCAAAUCCUAAUCCAAACCCUAAUCCAAAUCCUAAACUCUAAAUCAAACUCUAAAUCGAACCCUAGCCAAACCCAAAUCCAAAUCCUAGUAAUUCCUAUGACAGAUUUAAACCUCAAUAUCUAAUGAAUAAACCGUUGAUCUCAAUUCAAAAUUUUCAUACUUCUUAAAAAUCAAGUUUAAAACAAGUACAAAAAAAUUUGAAAAGGAUCGGAGUUACCAAAUUAAUGAAAACCUCAAAAAUGUGUUCGGGUGUUAGACGGCCUCCUUCUCCAAUCUUGAUGCCAAUCUUCCAGAGCCAAUUUCUCUUCUUUGCAUUGUUUGAUUGGUUUCAAAUUUCUCAUAGAUAUAGAAAACCAAGUCUAAUACCCUCUCACAUAAGUUUUACUCCAAUCUAACUAGUGGAUUGCAUGAAAUCUUAAAAACCCUCACUAGACCUAAAAUUCUACUUUCUGAGACCUUGACCCGCUUAAAUCUCAAUAUCUCUUACUUCAACCGUUAGAUCGAGCUUAAAUUCACAAUAUGUAUUUAAAACAACUAUAAACAUAAACCCAAAAAAUUUCACCUGUAGAUCUGCAACAAAACUCUCGAAAUCACUCAAAACAUAAAUCCUAUUUUAUUUCAUAAAACCCAAGUUAUCUGAAACAAACCUCUACUUUGCAAAGUUCUUACAAAGUCAUAUCAACUUCAAAUCACCCAAAAUCAAUGCCCAUAGAAACCCUAUCAAUGGGUCUGAUUUCGACCCUGGUUCAUAACUCGUCCUCUCCAGGUAUAAACUUUCGUCUUCUUGAGGUAGUUUUUACUAAUUUACACUCCUAACUCCUCCCUACAUAUGUCUAUAUCCUUUAUUUUUCUAAUCUACCUUGUUUUGCCUUAUUUAUGGCCUUACAAAGUAAAUAGAAGCAUAAUUUGUAAAAAGGCAGUAUUAGCACUUUAAAUUUUUCUUUCCUUUUAUUAAUAUCUAUUUUUCUAAGAUAAUUUGCUACAAUAUUUUUGAAGUGAGAUCCUCAAAACAUGAUAUACUUCUUCAAUUUUUCUCCUACUAGUCAUAUUACAUCAUGACUAAUCAAUUUUAGAAACUUUUAUAACUUGUCAAGCAUCGUUUUAACAAUCUAUUUGUCACAGACAUACUCAUGUACGCUAGUAAUUACAUAUACAAAUAGGUAGAAGUAAGUAAAAGUAGGUAAAAGUAAGUUAAUUCUAUAGUAUUUAAUAUGUAAGCUUCCUAGAAGCUUCAUAGAUGUUGCUUUGACUUCAUAGGUGUCUUUAAUUGACUUUUUGGAUUAGAAACGUGGUCAACAAGUUGGCCAUGUGCCACACAUGUUGUUAGCUUGAAGAUCAAGCUAACUAUGUGGCCCACAUGUAAAAAAACUUGACUUAUAAGUCAAGGCAUGUGUCCUACAAAGUCAACACAUAUUGGAGGUCCUAUAGAACGUCGCCACGUAGCCUCUAAUAAGAUAGUAUAUAUAGAGACAAGAGUGAAGCCUUCUUUAUUCUUGUCAACUCCUUUCUUGCUUCUAGUCUAAUUUCAAGGGUCUCUAAUUUUCUUGUCUUUUGGCAAUAGCCAUUCUAGUUUCUCUUUCAAUAUACAUACUUAUUUAUUUAUAUUUUAUUACUUUUCUUUGAGUGAAGGCUCACUUAUUUGAAUUAUUUUUUCAUCGAGUUCUUGUCCUUGACAGAAUGACAAGAGUACACCUACAAUAUCAGAGCUUUGUCUAAUCUUGAUUAAGAGUGGAUUAUCCUUUUUUUUUAAUAAGAUAUAAGCAUAUUAGAAGUUGCGGAUUACCCUCUUCUAAACUGAUAUUGUCCUUAGUAUUUUCUUUGUUCUCAAGUCCUUUCUUCCAUUUGUCUUGAGCAAUAUUAAACAUCUUCUCUUUUCUAAGUGUUAUCAUGGCAGAACUUGUUGAAAUGAAGAAUGCAAUGGCACAAAUGCAAGAGCAAUUGAGGGAGUUAAUGCUUGCGACGCAUCAACUCAAUUUACCACCACAAGGUGCAAUAAGAUUGGCAAGAAGUAAAGAUAUAGAAAUGGUUGGAGUUGCUUCAAUAUCUGUACCAAACCAUGUCCUUUCUCCUAUGGUAGAACACCCUUUCAAUUUUAGAGAACCAAGAAUUACCCUACCCAAGAAGUUAGAUGGCACCAGAUCCAAGUUUCAAGGAUUUAUCAAUCAAGUGCAACUUGUGAUUGAACUUCAACCCCAAAGCCACUCACCUCUAGGAUCAUAAGUUAGAUUUAUUGGUACGCUUCUUUCAGAUUCAGCACUAUCGUGGUUUUUAUCUUUUCUUGAACAACGAGAUCCAAUAUUGGAUAAUCUGGAGGCUUUUUUGGCGGAGUUUCGAUCCAUGUAUGGAGAACAUGAUACAAUUCGUAUUGCAACCAAUAAGAUCCGUAUUUUAUGACAAGGCAAUCGAUGAGUAACGUUGUACGCUUCACAAUUUCGACAACUUGCAAUUGAUAUCAAGUGGAAUGAUGCUGCAUUUAUUAGCCAAUUUUUCUAUGGAUUACAAUAUGAGGUAAAAAAAUUAAUGCUCAACUUACUUGAUCCUCAAACAUUGAAUCAAGCAAUUGACUUUGCUGUGAAGUGCGACAAUCGCUUUUUUGAAUUUUGAUUUGAAAACCAUACAAGUGGACCUCAACGUUACUAUAAUUCAAUGGCAAUACUAACACCUCUUCAACACAUACAUUCGGAAGUAGAUGAUAUGCAAAUUGAUGCAGUACGUUUCAAACCUCUUACUGAGCAAGAAAAGACUUGUCGUCAUGAAAAAAGAUUAUGUUUAUAUUGUAGAGAACCAAAGCAUACUACUCAAUAUUGUCCAAAGAAAUGAUACAAUCACAAAAUGAGGAGUAUAGCUGCGAAAGAAGAUAAUAUGUCAGAAAACGAAUUUGUCUAGUUGCAAUAGGGACUGUGCGACUGGAACCUUACACAACAUCUAGUAAAGGUCCUAUUUUCUCCUCAGAGCCCUCUCCUUAUUUUACAUUAAAUAUUAUUUUAGGACCUAAACAUUACAAAGUCUCAACCUUGUUAGAUUCGGGAGCCUUAGCAUGUUUUUUAGAUGAAGAAUUUACUAAAAGACAUAGCAUAUCUUUAGUAAAGAAAACUAAACCUGUUCAUGUAGAAGUCAUAGAUGGUCGUCCAUUGUCUUCUGGAGAUACAACUUAUGAAAUCCUUCCUAUAGAAGUAAUAAUCAAUGGUCAUAAUAGCUUUUUAGUAUUUUAUAUCAUUAGAUCUCCCUCUAAUCCAGUCAUUUUAGGUUUAUCGUGGUUAGAAAAAUACAACCUUCAAAUAGAUUGGAUUUCUCAAACUCUUACUUUCUCUAAAAGUAUAACUAACAAUGUAAUUAAUCAAGUAGAGAUUCAUAAGUUCAAUUCAAUUAAAUCCAUAUUUAUAGGUGCAAAAGCUUUCUUGCAUACUGCUAUAAAAGAAUCACCAUAUAUUAUUUAUGCCACACGUAUUCCUACUAGUGAAAAGACUUCAAGUGGCAUUCCAAGCCAAUAUCAAGAAUUUCAAGAUAUAUUCGAAAAAAAGAAUGUGGAUACACUCCCGGAACAUCGUCCCUAUGAUUGCUCAAUUGACCUUUAAGAAGGAGCACAACCUCCAUUCAGACCAAUCUACAGUUUAUCACAAAAUGAGUUGACUGAACUCAAGGAUUAUAUUGAAGAAAAUCUAGCCAAAAAUUUCAUACUCCAUUCUAAAUCUUCGACAGGAGUUCCAAUUCUAUUUGUGAAGAAAAAAGAUGGAUCAUUGCGGAUGUGUGUUGAUUAUUGAUGACUCAACAAGAUUACCAUCAAGAACAAGUAUCCACUACCUUUAAUAUCUAGACUUCUUAAUCAGCUGAAUCAAGCUAAGAUCUAUACAAAAAUAGAUCUUUGGAGACCAUACAAUCUAGUACGCAUCAAAGAAGGAGAUGAAUAGAAGACAGCAUUUCGAACUAGGUAUGGACAUUUUAAAUACGUCAUGCUUUUUGGACUUACAAAUACACCAUUAACAUUCAACAUCUAAUGAAUGAUGUUUUUCGAGAGUUUUUGGAUGAUUUUGUGGUCUGUUAUCUAGACGACAUCUUGAUCUAUUCUAAGAAUCCAGAAGAACAUGAACUUCAUAUUCGUUGUGUCUAACAAAAAUUAAGAGAUGCAAGAUUCUAUGCCAAGAUAGAAAAGUGUAUAUUCCACACUACUCAAGUCGAUUUCUUAGGUUAUAUCAUUUCAAAUGAUGGACUUAUGAUGGAUCCUAAGAAAGUUCAAACUAUUAUAGAUUGGAAGAUCCCAAAAACGAUAAGAGAUGUCCAAUGUUUUUUGAGAUUUGCCAACUACUAUCGGAUCUUCAUCAUAGACUUCUCUCGAGUUGUAGGUCUACUUAUACAUUUGACUUGUAAAAACAAACUCCAAUGGAAUCAAGAAGCGGAAGUUGCUUUUGAAUCUUUGAAGACAGCAUUUGUUUCUGCACCAAUCUUGUAUCGUGUUGAUUUUUCCAAAGCAUUCUUUAUGGAAACCGAUGCAUCAGACUUUGCGCUGGAUGCAGUUUUAUCACAAAUGGGAACAGAUAACAAACUUCAUCCAGUAGCCUUUCAUUUAAAAAAAUUCUCAGUAGUAGAAAUUAAUUAUGAGAUCCAUGACAAAGAACUUCUUACAAUUGUGGAUUCUUUUCAAGAAUGGCAUCAUUAUCUAGAAGGCACUUUUAGUCCAGUCACUGUGUAUACAGAUCACAAGAAUCUCGAAUAUUUUAUGUCAGUACACAUUUUAAAUCAUCGUCAAGCUCAUUGAAACAUGUCAUUAUCAAGAUUCGAGUUCAUCAUCACUUAUCGGCCAACAAAACAACAAGGUUUGUCUGAUGCCUUGUCUAGACGUUCUUAUCUUACACCAAAAGAAGAAGAUGGAGCUUUUGAGCAACAAAGAACGGUUCUCUUGAAGCCGGAGCAAUUUCAUCUUCAAGCAAUAAAAUCAACAUUGACUGUUGAUUUAACUUUUCUUAAGCAAGUCGAGUUAAGUAUGUCUUCAGACCCUCUUGUUCAUGAUAUCAAGAAUAAUUCUUCUAAAUCUCAUGAUCCCUCUAAAUUUGAAUUCAAGAACAACCUACUCUAUUUUGAAGGAUGCCUAUAUGUUCCAAAAAGAGAAGCACGUUUACGUAUUCUUCAAGCUCGUCACGACUUCCUAGCAGCAUGACAUUUUGGAUAUAAUAAGACUUUCGAGUUGAUAUCUAGGGAUUUUUGGUGGCCUCAAAUUUGGAGGGCAGUCAAAGAUUUUGUACAAUCAUGUGAUGUUUGCUCAAGAUCAAAAACUCCUCGUCAUCGAUCUUUUGGACUUCUUCAGCCAUUAUCCAUUCCAGAACAACCAUGGUCUUCUAUUUCUAUGGACUUCAUCACGGAUCUUCCAAUCUCAGGUUCUUAUGAUUCUAUAUUCGUGAUAGUAGAUAUAGAGACAAGAAUGAAGCCUUCUUCACUCUUGUCAAUUUCUUUCUUGCUUCUAGUCUAGUUUCAAGGAUCUCUAGUUUUCUUGUCUUUUGGCAAUAGCCAUUCCAGUUUCUCUUUCAAUAUACAUACUUAUUUAUUUAUAUUUUGUUAUCUUUUUUUGAGUGAAGGCUCACUUGUCUGGAUUAUUUUUUCAUCGAGUUCUUGUCCUUGACACUAUUUCUAUACGUUAACAAUACAAAUAUGUUAUCUAUACCUUGUUAUAAUUAAUCUUCUUUUACUAAUAUGAAACGUCCUCGUUUUACUCUUGAUGGUAUUUCUAAAUUAUUUCUUGGCAAUAUAUAAGGUUUUAUGCAGGUUUUCAUAUUGUAUUGGAAAUGGAAUAACCUUUCUAAAGAACUUUGUAUUGAAGUUGUGGACAUCCACUACUAUUGCGAAGGUAGCAAUGCUCCAAAAUCCUAUCUAUUUUAUAUUCUUGUUGAUCAUGAAUUACAAAUGGUGGUGGUGGUAGAAGUGAUUGGUGUCUAUCCGAAAAGCACUUUGGUUUGGUAUGAAAUUCUUUCAAUUGUAAAAUAUGAAAGAUCGGAUGGGCCUAAAUAUGUGGCAAAAGCUCAAGAUAAUAUAUGACAUCAAAAAUAACUAUAGAAAUGUAGAAAGAUCUAAGCCACUGAGGUGUUAGUUUAUCGAUUUGAUUUGAUGUAAUAAGUGGCAAGUUGGCAUUGGAAAGUAAUACCUAAUCACCUUCUCAGAAGAUCUUGUGUUGUCAAUGUUGUGAUGUAAUAUGGCUAAUAGGUAAAAGAAUAUAAAAAUUAUUAUAUUAUAGAAGUUCUUAGUUCUAAAUAUUAUAACAAAUUAUCUUAUAAAUAUAGAUAAUAGUUAAAGGGGUAAUAAAACUAAAAAGUACUAAUAUAUCUUUUUACAAAAUGAACUUCUAUUUACUUUUUAGAACCAUAAAUUAAGAAAAAUUUAAAAAAUUAGAAAAUUAAAUGAUCUAGACAUAUAUAAGAAGGAAUUAAGAAUAGGUUUUAGCAAUAUUUACCUCAAGAAGCCAAGAAUUGAUACUUAGAGAGGACCAAUCGUCAACCUAGGUGAAAAUCAGACCUCGAGGUACAAAACUACACACCUACGACAAUUCUAGGAUUCUUUUGUAGAUCAAAGAGUGGAAUUUGAGAGCAAACUUAGUAAGGUUUUUAUAAGCAUUGAUUUUGUAUGAUUUCAAUUUGUAAUGACUUUGUAAGAGCUUUACAAAAUUAAGUUUUUUUUAGAUGAUUCGGAUUUUUGUGAAAUAAAAUAGGGUGGCAUUUUAGGCAAUUUCAGAAAUUUUGUUAUAAAUCUACAUGUAAAAUUUUGUGGAUUAAUGGUUAUAGCUGUGUUUAAUAUGUAUUAUAAAAUUUAGCUUUAUCUAAUAGUUGAAUUGAAGAUUAUUGAGGUUUAAGUAGGUUAAGAUCUCAAAAAGUAGAAUUUUAGGUCUAAUGAGGAUUUCUAAGAUUUCUUGUAAUCUAUCAAUUGGAUUGGAGUGAAAGUUAUGCGUGGAUAGUAGAUUUAUUUUUUUAUGUAUAUAAGAAUUUUGAGAUCAAUUGAAUGGUACAAAAGAGAGAUGUUAGGACUAUAAGAUCAGUAUUAAGAUUGGAGAAAGAGAUCGAUCAACAUCCAAGCAAAUUUUAGGAUUUUUCUUCCAUUUAGUAAGUACAAUUCUCUUUAAAUUUAUUUUACUUGUUUGUAACUAAAAAAUUGAGAGGUGUGUAAAAUUUUAAAUAAGAUUAAUGAUUUAAUUGAAAGAUAUUGAGAUUCUAAACUACUUUAGAGUUUGAUUUAAGGUUUAGGAUUUGGUUAGGAUUUAAUUUAGGAUUUAGGAUUUGAUUUAGGAUCUAAGAUUUGUUUAAGAUUUGAUUAAGAUUUGAUUAGGAUAUAAGAUUUGGUUAGGAUUUGAUUAGAGAUUAGUUUAGAGUUUAGAAUUUGGUUAGGAUUUGGUUUAGGAUUUAAGAUUUGGUUACGAUUUGAAUUAAAAUUUGGAGUUUGGUUAGGAUUUGGUUUAGGAUCUAUGAUUUAUCUAGGAUUUUAUUUAAGAUUUAAGAUUUGGUUAGGAUUUGGUUUAGGAUUUAGGAUUUAGAAUUUGGUUAGAAUUUCAUUAGAGUUUGAAAUUUGUCUAGGAUUUGAUUAGGAUUUGAUUUAGAAUUUAGGAUUUUUUUAGAGUUUGGUUUAGGAUUUAGGAUUUAAUUAAGAAUUGGCAUAGGAUUUGAUUGAAAUCUAUUAGGAUUUUAAUUAGAAUUAAAUUAUGAUUUAAUUGAGAUUUAUUUAAGAUAUAUUUGUGAUUAUUCUAAGAUUUCUUUAGGAUUUCUUAAAGAUUUUUUUAAAAUUUAUUGUGGAUUUCUUUUAAACUCUUUUAAGAUUUCUUAUUGUUUCAUUUGUAAUUUCUUUAAGGUUCUUUUGAAUUUAAUUAAAGUUUUUUUAGUAUUGUUAUGAUUUAAUUAGAGUUUAUUUAGUGUUCCAUUAGAGUUAAGAUUUUGUUGUUGCAAUUUCUAUUCUACCUUUCACAACCAAUUGCCAAAUACAUUCUCGAGCAAGACUUCACUUAUUAUAACACAAGUAAUUAUCUAUAUAUUACUACUGUCAAUUUUGUACAAUAAAGAGGUAGUGUUGUGUUUCUAAUAAGAUCAUUAUAAACCGUUGUAUAAAUUCAUAUGUUGUCGAGUUGUUGGUGUCAAUGGGACAAUGAAGAGAUGUUGGCAUAAUUGAAUGUUUAUCAAUAUUAAAGAAAAAUGGUGAAUGAUUGGUACUUAUUUUAAUACUAUCAUUCUAAGCAAAUUCUAUGUGUAUCAAAUAUUCAUCCCAAUCAUUAUGAUUAACUAUCACAAAUGUCCUUAAUAUAUCUUUCAAGGUCUAAUUUACAUACUUUAUUUGUCUAUCUAUUUGGAGAUAGAAGAUUAUAGGCAUAACAAGUUUCAUGCCUAGUAGCUUGAAUAAGACAUGCUAAAAACUUCUCAUGAAGUGUGGAUCUUGAUCUGAAAUGAUGACACAAGGUUAUCUAUAGUGAUGAAAGAGAGUAUCAAAGAAGGUCCAUACAAGGUGUUGAGGUAUCAAUAUCUAAGUAUAUCAUGACUAAGUGAAGUUACUUUGAGAGUUGAUCUACAAAGACAGCAACCACAAUGUGAUUAUGAAGCAUUUGCUGCAAAUACAUAUUAAAAUUCAUAGUCACAUACUGCUAAUAUCCUAUAAAUAAUAGAAUUGGCUAUAAUAGUUUAGGAGAUGUUGUAUUUUGUGUUUUAUUACAUUGACAUGACUUCCAAGAAUACACAAAAGCUUGAAUAUCAUAAUCCAAACUAUGUUCUUAAGAUCUGUUCUAGAGUCUUCUUUUACCUUGGAUGUCUAGAUAUUAAAAUAUCAUGUCCUUCUUGAAGUAUGCGCCUCCAAAGUAUAUCAUUGAGAGGUAUAUAAAUCUGCUUCUUGAAAUAGAACAAACCAUCAUUAAGACUGUAUUCUUGAUACUAUAUAUUAUCCACCUUCAAUUAAUUACUAACCACCUAAAAAUAAACAACUCAAUGUGUAGCUUUCUUACAUUCAACUUCUCAAAGUUAAAUUUGAAAUGACUCUAUUAAUAAUAAUAACUUCUAUCUUGUCUUCCAAUUUAGCCUUUAAGACUAGUCUCUGCAACAAGCAGUUUGGCCUAAUUUAUUGUUACCUUUGCAUAUACUCAAGCUAAAUAUCAAAAAGUUGCAACUAUUCUUUCUAACAAUAAUGUUAUGAUUUCAUAUUUUUUAAAUGCACAUUGUGUACCAAGGAUUGAUGGUCAGUCCAAAUAACCACUAGCUUUCCCAACAGAUAGUGUCACCACUUUUUUGUAGCAUGUACAAUUGCUAAUUGAUCUUGAUCACAUAUAAAGUAAUUUCGCUUUGCUCUUCUAAGCUUGCAUGAUUCAUAUGCCAGAGAUUGAAGGCCUCUUAUCAAAGGACUAUUCCAAUAUCAAAGUCGGAAGCAUCAAUGUCAAGUAUACAAGGAAGGUUAAAAUCAUAUGGUGUCGUUGUCGUAAUGUGUGAAGUCUUGCUUGAGAAUGCUCCGAGCACCUGGAUGUAGAAGGAAGAAUAGAAAUUGCGAUAACAAAAUCCUAAAUAGAAUACUAACAAUGUUCUAAUUAGACUAUAAUAAUGGUAAACAAACGUAAUCAAAUUCAAAACAACUCAAAGAAAUUUCAAUCAAACAAUAAAAUUCUUAAAGAAAUAUUAGAAUGAUCACAAAUUUUACUCAAAUAUAUGUCAAUUCAACCUUAAUUUAAUUCUAGUUAAAAUCCUAUUGAAUUUCACUCAACUUUAGACCAAACCUAAUUAAAUCUUAACCCCUAAUAAUUCCUAAACCCUAAGUCAAAUCCUAAACAAAUCUUAAAUUAAAUCCUAUUUCAAAUCCUAAAUCCUAAAUCAAAUCCUAAAUCAAACCCUAAACCAAACCCUAAUCCAACCCUAAAUCCUAAACCAAACUUUAAAUCAAAUCCUAACCAAACCCUAAUCCAAACCCUAAAUCAAACCCUAACCAAACCCUAAAUCCCAAUCCAAACCCUAAUCUAAUCCUAAACUCUAAUCCAAAUCCUAAACUCUAAACCAAACCUUAAAUCAAACCCUAACCAAACCCUAGUCCAAAUUCUAAUCCAAACCCUAAAUCAAACCCUAACCAAAUCCUAAAUCCUAAUUCAAAUCCUAAUCUAAAUCCUAAUUUAAUCCUAAAUUCUAAUCCAAAUCCUAAACCCUAAACCAAACCUUAAAUCAAACUCUAAUCAAAGCCUAAUCCAUACCCUAAUCCAAAUCCUAAAUCAAACCCUAACCAAAUCCUAGACCAUAAUCCAAACCCUAAUCCAAACCCUAAUCCAAAUCCUAGUAAUUCCUAUGACAGAUUUAAACCUCAAUAUCUAAUGAAUAAACCGUUGAUCUCAAUUCAAAAUUUGCACACUUCUUAAAAAUCAAGUUCAAAACAAGAAGAUUUUUUUUGAAAAGGAUCGGAGUUACCAAAUUGACGAAAACCUCAAAAAUGUGUUCGGGUGUUAGCCGGCCUCCUUCUCCAAUCUUGAUGCCAACCUUCCAGAGCCAAUUUCUCUUCUUUGCACCAUUCGAUUGGUUUCAAAUUUCUCAUGUAUAUAGAAAAACAAGUCUAAUAUCCUCUCACACAAGUUUUACUCCAAUCCAACUAGUAGAUUGCAUGAAAUCUUAAAAACCUUCACUAGACCUAAAAUUCUACUUUUUGAGACCUUGACUCACUUAAACCUCAAUAUCUCUCAGUUCAACCAUUAGAUCAAGC
rnacentral:lncRNA from 1 species